AAAAAGGACACGAACAUAUAUACAAAAUGUAUAAUAUGGUUCGUAGUGAAUAAUUAAUAAAAGGCACAAAAAUGUACACAAAAUGAACGGCAUAUACAACAAAUAUACAUAUAAGAUGACUUGCACAAAAUCUCUACCCAAGUUCGGGUCACACUUCAAAUAUACCACUCCCUCCCCCCCAACUUAAAGAGAAAACACAGCCCGUAUAACACACCCACCCACACAUUUCGACGGAUUUACACAAACUUAAUGAUCAUGAGAGAAAUUACAGAUCCAACUUAAUGGUCUAUAAUAAGGAAAUAGCUUUAUAAUGGACAACUGAAGGUGCAGAUACUCUAUAUAAAUGUAUAUAUAUAUAUAUAUAUGUAAACGGGAUACACGCCCAUCUAUAUAUUCAAUGCUGUUUAGGGGAGCAUCUUACUUUUCACUGAUGUAAACGGAACCGAAUCGUGAUGGCGUUUGCAUCAAUCUUAUCAGUCUUUGCGUACAAUUAACAAACAAAAUGUUACAUGUUUCAUACUUAGUCAUACAUAAUCCCAUAUUCAUAAUUAUAAUGGAAUAAAAUAUGGAAAUGCUAUCAUCUAA